rnacentral:rRNA from 1 species
AGAGUUUGAUCAUGGCUCAGGACGAACGCUGGCGGCGUGCUUAACACAUGCAAGUGGAGCGACGAACCGGGGCUUGCCCCGGGGCAGAGCCGCGAACGGGUGAGUAACACGUGAGUAACCUGCCCCGAUGACCGGGACAACCCGAGGAAACUCGGGCUAAUACCGGAUGUGGCGCACAGGUGUAAGCCUAUGCGCUAAAGGAAGCUUCGGCCUCCGCAUUGGGAGGGGCUCGCGGCCCAUUAGCUUGUUGGUGGGGUAACGGCCUACCAAGGCAACGAUGGGUAGCUGGUCUGAGAGGACGAUCAGCCACACUGGGACUGAGACACGGCCCAGACUCCUACGGGAGGCAGCAGUGGGGAAUCUUGCGCAAUGCGCGAAAGCGUGACGCAGCAACGCCGCGUGGGGGAAGACGGCCUUCGGGUUGUAAACCCCUUUCAGGAGGGACGAAGGUUCGCCGGUGAAUAGCCGUGCGGAUUGACGGUACCUCCAGAAGAAGCUCCGGCUAACUACGUGCCAGCAGCGGCGGUAAUUC